ACCGUGCGGACGUGUUUGAGCGUGUGCAGUCUUCGCGGACGUUAAAAGUGGUCUCCACUUUGUCGAAGCGUGUCGUUCGAUCGGUACGGGAAGAACUGUGCCCUUUGUAGUGUGUAAGUUUACGUUUGGUCAAGCACGUUAUCGGUGCCAUUUUGUGGUGCACGAUAGGAACGUUUGGUUAUCAUUUGCUGUACGUUUUUAAGCUGUAAGGUUCACAAGACGAUCGACGUAGAGUAAGAAAAAAGAAACGUUCUAAGAAGAUAAGCCACAACACAUGCUUCCUGUUGCUUUCCAGAUGUGUUGCGAAGAAGGCCAAGCUACAUCGCACCACUUUGCCAUAGCGCACGUGCGUUUGGCCGUCGAUAUUGCGUUCCCUCUUACCCCGCUUUCAGUGUGUGUGUGUGUGUAAGUGCGUCGAGAAACGAUUGUGUGUGCUUGUGUGUAUGUGUACAUAUUUGAAAAAGCAAAAGAAGAAACAAAAAAAACUCUACCACCGGGUGCAGCAGCAGCGUGCAAUAUCCGUCUGGGAUUGGGAAGUUGGCAGAAGAAGGGCACCAAGCGAAGUCCAUUUCCAAACCCCGUCGUCCCUUUUUGGCGAAGAAAAAGACAACAUUCGACAGGGAAGAAGUGUUGGCUGCCGUUACCGGCUGCUGGUGACUUGCGAAGGAUGGCCGGAAGAGGGCGCUCGCGUGUCUCUUCUGCCACCUUCCAAGCGCUGUCUGGUCGGUCGGCUCUCUGUGACGGUCGCCACCGUUUCGGUAGACAAAAAGAAAAGGGUGUGAGGAUAUUUUCUGCACCAUGUAUGCGGCUGUGUGUUUGUGUGUGAGUGUGUGUGUAAGUGGUAGGAAAGGAUCUGGAUAGCAACGAGCCGUACACCGCCGUCUCCAGGAAGUGUCCAGAAGCCGCGCGCACUGGUGUGUGUAUGUCACAGAAGAUUGUGCAACUCAUGCAUCAAGUUACUAGUAUUCAAUUAUAACCACCAAGAUACACACGCGCGCUGGAAGGAAGCAAGCAAUUCGCAAGAGAGAUGAAUUCCCUGCCGUGCUGCAAGAAAACGCGCGCGCCUGUCUGCUGUGUGGUGGCGUCUGCUGCCGAAAGGGACUGUGAUCAGGAGCAAUCAGCAACCUUCCCGCGUACCACCAGCAUUUCCCCUACUGCUAUGUCGGGCGGGCAAUAGCUCCAAGCGGGAUUUAUUACACGGAUCGGAUGACGGAUCGAAAUUGUUUCGACAUGGACGUGUCGUUUUUUUGUUUUGCUUCUUUCAAGCCAAUUCAUUUGCCGAUAAUAACUCGAUUCGAGUUUGGAACGCUUUGUGGAGGCUGCAACACCGUGUGCUAUUCGAUGAAAUGGGGCAGACAUUGGAGGAGGAGUAGCGGAAAACAUCCAUUAGUGAUUUUAAAUUAAUGACCAUAUUUUUAAACUACAGUUGUACACAUUUCAUCUUUACAGGAAGACCUUCAACGGCUUUCAAAAAUGCUCGUUCCAUCAAACCCUUCAUUAAACAACUGUAAAGUGUGUGCUAGUUAGAGGCAUUCGCGAUCAAGCUUGAAUCCUACUAAGUUCAAACAUUUCCAAUCCACUUUUCAUAAAUACCUUCGCACUGUAGCCGAAACGCACGGGCAUCGAUGGAGAUUGUGGAAAUAGUUGAAAUAUUCCCUGAGCGAAAUAGCUGACAGUGAAC